rnacentral:misc_RNA from 1 species
GAUGAAGAACGUAGCGAAAUGCGAUACUUGGUGUGAAUUGCAGAAUCCCGUGAACCAUCGAGUCUUUGAACGCAAGUUGCGCCCGAAGCCACUAGGCCGAGGGCACGCCUGCCUGGGCGUCACACGCCGUUGCCCCCCCAUCUACUCCUUCGGGAUUGCGGGGGGGCGGAUGAUGGCCUCCCGUGCGCCUAGCCGCGCGGUUGGCAUAAAUACCAAGUCCUCGGCGACGCACGCCACGACAAUCGGUGGUUGCGAAACCUCGGUCGCCCGUCGUGUGCGUUCGUCGCGCAUCGAGGGCUCGAAAAAAUGCUCGGCUCCGGCUGGGCUUUCAACGCGACCCCAGGUCAGGCGGGGUUACCCGCUGAAUUUAAGCAUAUCAAUAAGCGGAGGA